CCAUCCUUUCUUGUUAAUUAAUAUGGUGCCAAAGCCAGAUACAUGUAAAUCAAUUUGAAAUUACAAUUAAUUCCCAUGCUAAAACAAGAUAACCUGCUCAUCUCGGAGAUGAAUUUAUUUAUAUAUGGACAUAGUGGCAAGCUUCUGAGACAUGUGCUCCGAGUUUGAUAACUAUGUGGGACUGCAGACCAUUCCAUCUGACCAACUAGCAGCUUACACCUCUAAGGGUGGUGUCAAAGGCGGAGGGAUCCUUUUUUGAAAGGGGGUGGAAAUGACAGAAGGAAAAAGAGAACUUAGAAAGGAGAGAUGGGGUGAGAAGGUGAUGGAAGAGAGAAUGGAGGAUGACACAAAAGAUGAAGCAUUUAGCAGCCACAGCUGGCCGCUGUAGGAGGUAAUCAACCCAGGUAAAAGAACAAACUAUAUGCUGCUUCAACCAAAACAGAGGCAUCAGUGAAAAUAUAAAUAGAGAAAUUAUGCAAAUAAAAAUAUGAAAUGCUGGAAAGUGCAGAGGAGGGGGGAGGGGUGUAAAGAGGAAAAUUUGAAAACACAUGGAUUCCAAACAGAAAUUGACAGGAUGAGGAAGGAGGGUUCCUGAAGCCAUCAAAGCUCCACUGUACAGUACUAAAUGGAGUCGAUACAGCCUAACGGACUGCAGUAGAGACCUGGUACCAACAUGUACAGGAAACGAAACCAAUCUUCAUGGCGGUACCAGCAGAGAUUACAAACAAUCUCAAAUUAACUAAUGCCACGACUUUGUGUCCAUGAUUGCAUCAACUUGUUAAAAUGUCCUGAUUAUUCUAUUGAUUAAACAACCACAGUGUUUACUGCACAUGAUUCCUAGUUAGUAUACGUUACAUUAUUUGAAUUUAUCCUAAUGCACAGUACGCUUUUUGUA